rnacentral:rRNA from 1 species
CCGGCGACCGGCGGACGGGUGCGUAACGCGUAUGUAACCUACCUUUGACAGGGGGAUAACAUCGAGAAAUUGGUACUAAUACCCCCAUAACAUCACCGGAGGCAUCUUCGGUGGUUGAAAACUCAGGUGGUCAGAGAUGGACAUGCGUUGUAUUAGCUAGUUGGUGAGGUAACGGCUCACCAAGGCGACGAUACAUAGGGGGACUGAGAGGUCAACCCCCCACAUUGGUACUGAGACACGGACCAAACUCCUACGGGAGGCAGCAG